rnacentral:rRNA from 1 species
GGCGAACGCUGGCGGCGUGCUUAACACAUGCAAGUCGAACGGAAAGGCCCUGCUUUUGUGGGGUGCUCGAGUGGCGAACGGGUGAGUAACACGUGAGUAACCUGCCCUUGACUUUGGGAUAACUUCAGGAAACUGGGGCUAAUACCGGAUAGGAGCUCCUGCUGCAUGGUGGGGGUUGGAAAGUUUCGGCGGUUGGGGAUGGACUCGCGGCUUAUCAGCUUGUUGGUGGGGUAGUGGCUUACCAAGGCUUUGACGGGUAGCCGGCCUGAGAGGGUGACCGGCCACAUUGGGACUGAGAUACGGCCCAGACUCCUACGGGAGGCAGCAGUGGGGAAUAUUGCACAAUGGGCGGAAGCCUGAUGCAGCAACGCCGCGUGCGGGAUGACGGCCUUCGGGUUGUAAACCGCUUUCGCCUGUGACGAGGCGUGAGUGACGGUAAUGGGUAAAGAAGCACCGGCUAACUACGUG